GUGCUUGCUUUGGCAGCACAUAUACUAAAAUUGGAAUGAUACAGAGAAAGAUUAGCAUGCCCCCUGCGCAAGGAUGACACGCAAAUUCAUGAAGUGUUCCAUAUUUUU
ensembl:snRNA U6 U6 spliceosomal RNA